rnacentral:RNase_P_RNA from 1 species
GCAGCCGGAUAGCUGCGUUGCGGAAAGGAAAAUCCGUUAAUGAGGAAAGUCCGGGCUUCAUGGAAACAAGACACCAGAUAACGUCUGGCUGGAGCAAUCCAAGGGAAAGUGCCACAGAAAAUUACCGCCGAACCAUGUUCGGUAAGGUUGAAAAGGCGAGGUAAGAGCUCACCGCAAAGUUAGCAAUAACUUUGGCCAGGUAAACCCUGUUUGAAGCAAGACCAAAUUAGGAGGGCUUUGAUUUUUUCAAAGUUGUUGAGGCGUUUCCACCUCACUCCAGAGGUAGGUCGCGAUGAGCAUAACAGCAAUGUUCUGCCUAGAUGAAUAGCUAUCGUCUUCUUGCCUGUUGCAAAACAGUCAAGAAGUUACAGAACCCGGCUUACAGGCUGCCUGU